GUUCUAUCAUACUUUGCACAUAAAGCAGGUAAUUUCAAGCAGUAUAAAUACAUUACAACUCCCACGUGCCCACGUUCUUUUAUCAUCAAGGUAUUGUUAUCAAAAAUGUGGGCCCGCUGCAAAAGUGUUGCGAAUUACGGUCAAGGUCUUGUAUUAUCGUUAUCUAAUCGGUUGUUCAGCUCUGUUUCGUUGCAUUAGAUAGCGGUUGGCAGCUUCUGUCUGCAGCAGUUACAGCUCUUUUUUUGCGGUACACAGCUGUCAGAUGAUUGUGUAAUCUGUCUACCAGUGCUCGAGUGAAGAAUUGUUGUAUUGUAUAACAUUGGCUCAAUGGUACGGGGUUUAUGGUUUUGCGUUUAAAACGUGCGAUAGAUUUAUUCAUUGUAUGACUCUUUAAAUCCGAUUGCAAAUCCAAUUGGAUUAAUUCACAAAUAAGGAACACAAUUAGACCAACAGGGAUGUUUACUGAUCAUAGCAUGUUUAGAAUUCACUUACCGUAUUCUUACACAUAUCCUUUUCGAUCUACCCAUUAGUAAGGGGAAUCGGUCUCGCUCGGUUUUAACUUUCCCCAGAUUUAACGAAUUUCCCCUGCCAGCCCCGAGAAAACGAAACCUGCUCUCGAGUAAAGGAUUUGCUCCUCUCCCACGAAAGGAUCGUUCGGCAACCGGUCGUAUUCUCAACCGUAGGCAGGAAAACUUUGUCUCACGGGGGUUUUCCUUUUGCUUCCAGCCGCGAACGGUCCCCUCCGCGUGUCCUCGGACCCGUGUCUGUACAUAAUGCACGUUUUUGAAAUGCUUGAACUGUCGUCCUAGCCAGCCAGCCAGCGCACGGACCUCUUACGCAAAAAAGCAAAGAAGCCGCACCGAAUGGAAAGGAGUACGGGGAGAGAGAGAGAGAGAGACUUAUUUAUCGGCUUGAUUUAUGGCUUUCCGGUAGCGCGUUUCUCGCCUGGCCAUUUUUUGGAUUCGGUCGCUCGCUUUCUCGCUCAUAUCUCGGCUGCCUCGGUUGCUCCUUUUUGCGUGCAGUUUUCGGGCGGUUUUCGCGUGUGUUUCGUUCGUGCGCCCAAACUGUCGGCGCACGCAGUCGCGCCACGUGUUGGCCAGAGCGCACACAGGCGUUUGGAGCCCAUGGGCCCAACUGCUACCUCACGGCCAAACGGACGAACCGAUUCGCAAUCGCAUUCCAUCGGUGAAACGGUACAGUCGCACGCUCGCUCGCACGGGGAUUCGGCUAGCGCAGUGUGACGCGACAUUUCACUGCACUUUGGUAGGCUCUAGGUCUGGCCUGUUGUGGGCUGUUGUGGUGCGUGUGUCUGAAGUGUAGUGAAGAAUACAUUGGAACAAUCCUUGAUUCUUGUGCGGUGUGACAUGCCUUUUGUGAUGUUUCAGUGAUGUCUGGUAGACAGUUGAGUCCUUUUACUUGAUGUUAGGAUACUUGAAAGGAUCUUGUAUGUGUUUAGUAUUAGCAGUAUCACUGUGAAUACAUCUCAUAGAACUCGUCAGAAUCUAACCAUUUCCAGUUAAUCCUACAAGAAGGUUAGUAUUUAACUGUGCCCGUGUGUGCUCUCGCUCGCCACAUUACCAUUCCCUCGAUGCCGGUCUGUUGCCAUGUGUCUGGUGCGCGUGUCUCGCAUUAGGAACACGUUUAGUCCUGUCCGCACGAAUGCGUGUGCCCUGCGCCCGCUUUCGAGCGUUACGUGUCGCAUAGCUUUGCGCGCGGUAUUCGUUGCAUGAAAUUUGAAAAUUAAAUUUGCUUGGUCUCCCGGGUUUCGGCACCAGAGCGUGGGUUACGCGGGACGGUAAACACAAGAGACACAUUCCGGCAUGCACGAGAGCUGUCCAAACACGGUCGUGCCAGCUCUUCCAGACUUGCACCGGGCUUAAAGUUACUGCAUACACACACACACACACAUACAGACACAGCGAGCGAAACUCGGGGACUGGUUUUGUCUGUUUCAUUUCCGCGCGCGAUCUAACGAUCUUUUUGUCUUGGAAUUCAUGCCUUUUUUUUGUUGCUUUUGUUGUACGCUUUCUUUCCGCAGACACUAUCAUCGGGAGCCGCGAAUCGUCAGAUGAACCGCUACGUCGUCGUUGCCCUUUUUUUUUGAAAUGUUAGAAGAUUACGAAACCGGAGGCAAGAGCUAACAAAAACGAAGAAAUUUGCACGAGAACGUCGCGAACACUGCAGCACGCAAAAUGAACCACCACGAGAGAGGAAGAAGGGGUAUAGAGCGCACGUGUGUGUGUGUGUGUGCGUGUUUCAUUGCUCUCCCAUAAUAAGCUGUGCUGCUCCCCUACGCAAAUUUUCGUCGGAGCGUCGUCAUUGCGUGUGUUUGAAGCCGCCAAACCCUGCCCCGAAACGAAAAACGCACCCCAAAAAAUUGUUCGAAUAGGGGAGAAUUAGUGAGAAUUCACCAGUGCGUGUGCGUGUGUGUCCAUUUUGAGAUGGAUAGAGAGAGAGAGCGAGUGAGCAGAAAUUCGUGAGUGCGCUAUACUUCGCGAACGAAACCGAGAGAGAGAGAGAGCUCACACAAGAGGGGUUAAAAAGAAGGAGAGCAUUACGUACAGCGGAAUGUAUUCUUGAGCGCAAGCGAGAGGCAUCGGAGCAACCUGGAGCGAGAGAUACGACAGCAAACAAAAACAAAAAAAAAAAAACAAAAAAACCCGGAAGUACCGCAACCCCCGUUUAUGUCAAAAACGCAACCCCUAUCGUGCGGCGAUCGGGGGUAGGGGUUGAGAUCGAGCCCGAGCGUUUCGUGAGAGAAAACUACCGAAAAACCCUCUCCUCCGGCGCGAGAGCGAAACGCGCCUGGCCUCGGUGGGGGUAUGUUCAGCGUUCAGGGCAACCGAUCGGAUGCCUCCGGUUUUAUUGAAGUUUGAAUUUGGGCAGCGUUCGGAUCGGGGUAGUACAGCCUCUCGUGCACUGACUGGCAGCUCGGUCGUGCCUCCGCUGCCCCACAGUGUGUAUGUGUGUCCGUGUGUGUGUCUGUUCCUGUAUGUGUGCGUGUGUGUUCAUGCGUGUGUGCACAUACACACGGGGUGAUGGCGCUUUUGCGUUCGCGGCAGGCCGUCACUUUUCCUCGUGAAGGGAUCCUGGACAGUGGUUAGUGCCGCUAGUAGUAGUGCCCGUUUACCGUCGUCCCGUACAGUGCGCUUUCUCCACCCGGGUCGUGUGGUGGUCCUUUCGCCGUCCGGUUUGGGGUGCAAUGUCCUUUCGAAUGCUGAACCAACAACAUCAUUAGCAGUAGCCGUAGCCGUAUCCUUAGCAACUAUCUGUUUGCAGUGUUAAAAGUGUGAGCUACAUGCAUCGAAGUUUUGUGGAAUCGGAUCGAGAACUAGUAUUUUAGAAGUUUGUGUUUCGAGUGAUUUUUCUUUUUGAAUGAAACCGGUCGCUAAACUUUCCAGUGUCUGCAGUAAUGAAUGUGCGUGCUUUACUUCGUUUGCCACUGUUGAGUGCAGUUUUGAGUUGCAUUUUUUCGGCCAGCUGAGUGCAUUCGUUUGAGUCGCUUUGUGUUUCAUCGGUUUUUGCUUGGUUGGUUUCUUUUUUGCAAGUGUAUUGUGGAAUUGAAACGAUUGACACUUCCUUCGACGCUUGACACGCUGCCGAUGUUUAGUUGCCGCCUUGUACACACAAGAGUGCAUUUUUUGUGUUAAUUUUCUGUUUGAAUCCAACGCUGAGUGUUUGCAAGAAUACUGCUGCUGCUGCUGCUGCUGCUGUAAAAAAGAUGCUAGUAAUUCGCUUUCCCCAUCGGCCAACCCAACCGCACCAGGCUCCCGAUUAGAAACGUCCUCUAGGUACAGUUUGUGGUGGUGACCAAAAGUCAGCUGUAAUUUCGGAGAAUCAACAUCGCCACUGCACCAUGGUACAGGAACUGCACACAGUGCACUCUCUUCACCAGUUUACGUGCGUGGCUGUGGGCAAUCACAUCACUUGCUAUUCUAAAUUCAACAACCGAGCAGCGCGCGUCCUGGAUUGCAGUUUGGGGCUGCAAUUUUGCGGACCAUGUCACGGGUGCUACAAACUGAAUGUCGGAAGCGUCGGAUUCUUUAGGCGACCGAGACCGAGGCUCAAGGGAUAAACCGAAACGCCGAUUAUUUCACCACGGAGAAGAACCCGCCGUCCCGGAACGAUAAGUGACCCGCCGCAUCCUUCGCCAAACUACUGUUCACAAGCUCCGAUGGAGCACACACGCGCGGCCACGCGUAGUUUGGUGUAGAUAAUCUUAGCGAAGACUUUUUGGAGCAAGAGCAAGCGCAGAAGGUAAGCAAGAUUUUCUAAGAACAGUUUGUGUGUGUGUGUGUGUGUGUGUGUGUGUGUGUGUGUGUGUGUGUGUGCGUUCGUGGGUGAAAGGUGGAAAAUCCUUCCAUUCUCUCUUCCAGCAUGAAAGGUAAAAGUUGCGCACGGGUGCAUUAUUAUCGUUUCGUUCGCUUAUUUAAACUUUCAUCGAUAGCACGGGGGAAGGGUAGGGAUAAGAAUGGGAUGGUUUGAAAGUACUCCUAUUUCAUGCCCCGCACACACACACACACACACAUACACUAUUUGGCCACUUGUGGGUGUGAUGUGUACGCGAGCAGCGAUGCGCAACAACGAGAAACGCGCUGUCAUGUGGGAUGUGUUUUGUGAAGAAGCACACGCGCGACAUCGUUCCCGGGUUUAGCUCCGAGCAUGAUAAAAUAUCAACCUCGUAGGUGUGUGCGUGUGUGUGUGACUGAGUGUGUUGAUAAGAAAAGGUUCACCGGUGCAGGAUAACAUUAGAAGACAGUCUAAAAGAUACAGCCAGCGCAGCGUUAGAGCAAGCACAAAACGGCACACGGUGUCGCCUACGAUUCCUAGCAUUCCAAGAAGCAGAAUAACGUUUCAUUCUGUGAUCAGAUCACAUCCGCCCCUAUUAUCCCCUCCGAUCCCUGGCUACCGAAUCUUACCGAGAGAGAUGAAUUUUAUCCGAGAGUGAAGAAAAAAAGCCUCCCGGACAAUUGGGCACACAACAGUACGACGAUGAGGACGAUAAAUUCACUUCGGCCGGGGGCCCAACUUUUAAACACUUUUUGAGUUUAAAUUAAGUUAAAAGAGCACAACUCGUUUUCGUUUUCCAAGCGAAUGAUGGCGAGAAGGGAGGGUUGAAUCUUCCCCACCGCCCGUCCCCCCUUUUCUAAAUGGCGGUUUCUUUCGAAUCUUUUCCCGCUUUGCGGUGAAACACGAAACUCAAAUGCUAGUUUUGUAGUUUGGUGGGUCUGGUGGGGGAGGUAAAGGGUGGGAGCAAGUUGAAAUUAAAGCAACGCAUAACGCAGGACAAUGUUGAAUGGGGUCUGAUAACAGGGAAAGAUGUGACGCGGAAGGAAAGACUUUUAAAACACACACAUACACAGCCACAUAUACACUGCAGAUCGAAAACUUCUCCCGGACAGUUGAGUAUCGUUUUGGUCGUGUUGCGGUCGCUUUUCCCGAGGUCGGUUUUUUUUUCUUUUUUUUGUGUGCUUCAGGGGAAAGGGAAGUGCUUCCCGUUGGCGAUGGGAUGAGGUGAGGGUGAUGGCAUGCAGGCGACCUCCCAUAUACCGCAUAAUUGAAGGUUUCGUUCGCUUCUGUCUAGGUUCGUUUGAGUGCUAAUUAGUUUUAGUUUGCUCGUUUCCGUGUGUGUGUGUGUGUAUCGGAAGGGUGGAAUUGCUGCUGCUGCUGGCACUACCGUGGUUGUAUGGUUACGGAAAUUGUAUGUAUCAUACGGUUGUAGUGAUAUAUUUCUGAUUUGCUCUUCGGUACGGACUGGUUGAAGCCAGCGGGAAAGAGUGCAGCUGUGCCAUUGAAGGAGAUAUUCAAGGUAGAUAUCAUGAAGAAAUAUGAAUAUUUUUUUUUUUUUUUUUUUUGUUGAAGCUAGUCGGUGCAAAUCCUGUCAUGCAUCUAACUUCAAGCAUUAAAGUGAUUUCUAUCUUCUGUAAUUUUAUUACUUGAACUGUAUUGUGCACAAGUUUCGUUGAGUGUAUGAAAUACAUUAUGAGUUUUAUAAUCAAGCUGUAACCAUGCUAAGUUAAGUUAAAACAAACGAUCUUUAUGUGAGCCUGAAGUACAUUUCAAAAAGUAAAGCUAAAAGGUCAAAGGUCAUAAGAAAAAUUGACAUAUUGUACUACAUUGCGAUUCUUUGUUCUAGUGCAAGUGAACGUGAAGUAUGAUUUUUUAAUAGAAAAGAUAGAAAAUAUAAUAACAAGCCUAACGAAAGAAUAUUCCACUCUUCAAUUAUUUAAUGAUAUUCAACAAUAUUUAUAUCGAAAAAUUAAGGAAAGAAUUUAAAAAAAAUACAUAAGUUUGAAGUUUUAACAAUAAUGUUUAACUCCUGCGAGAACAGCACUAAAAACAGCAUGAUUUUAUCCAAUUACAGGAUUUUCCAGGAGUUCUCAAAGCUGUGGGACACUUUAUUGACUCUUACUUACGGGUAAGAUAGUAUAGCACCAUUGUUUGACAAAUCUAAUACGAAUUUCCAAGGAGCUUGUCCAAAAGGAGUACUAUAUAGUCCAAUUUCCAUCAUUUAAAUUUCACUUUCCAUA